UACAGAGGUCCCAAGCGUUGUUCGGAUUCACUGGGCGUAAAGGGUGCGCAGGUGGGUUGGCAAGUUCGAUGUGAAAGCCCCGGGCUUAACCCGGGAAUGGCAUUGAAAAACUGUCGAUCUGGAGGAUUGGAGGGGGGGACUGGAAUUCUUGGUGUAGCAGUGAAAUGCGUAGAUAUCAAGAGGAACACCAGUGGCGAAGGCGAGUCCCUGGACAAUACCUGACACUGAGGCACGAAAGCCAAGGGAGCAAACAGG
rnacentral:rRNA from 1 species